ensembl:lncRNA
CUUAGGUAACAGAAAUAAUAAUAAAUAAAUAAAAGAUCUAAAAUGACAGCAGCAUAUUUAAAGAAAUGUUUUCUACUUUAUUAGUUUUUAAAUCAUCAAAAAUACAUUUUAUACACAAAUUAUACAGAAUACAGUGCUACAGAGAUACAGUUCUGUCAUGUAAAUGAAAGUGCCUCAUGGUUGUGAUUGGUAAUUGGGACGUUUUAGAGAUCAUACAGAGAAUUCCCAUAUCCUCGCAUGUGAACCAGAUAUUACUGUAGAUGGUUUUAAUUUAGAAAAAACAAAAACGUGGCGUUCUUGGGAACUGGAUCGAGAAGCAGAAACGAUCAGAUCUUCUAUUGAAAUCUUGAUUCUGAUUGGUCAGGAGGUGUUGCUUUCUCUCAAGUUUCUCAAACAGCAGGUCUGACAGCACUUCAGCUGUAACUCAUGCGUCAUUGCUUCUCUAGUAUCAGUUUGUGUAAAUGGUGGCCGAUUCGCAUAAACAGAUCGAAACACAUACAUGCCAAAGUAGUCUGUAAAGAGAUGAUUGUUUAACGUUUUAUGGAAGGAGUUUCCAGUGGCUGAGCUUUUUUUUUUAGCUAUAAGUUUUCUGCCACAGAAAAAGGUGUUUUUUUAUUUGUUUAUUUGUUUUUUUUUAUCGUAUUAACUUCUAGCGCAAGGAAAAGGAUAGGCUGGUGAGGGAAUGACUGUUUAUAGCCGCUAUAACGUAAGUAACCUGUUUCAAAGACAUUCCACAACAUUAAAUAUAUAUAUAUAUAUAUAUUUUUUUAAAGUACAAGUUCUUCUUUACUUAAUGAAAUAAAUGUGACUGCUGGGGUUAUAAUCACUGUGGUAUAAGAGGAAUAAGACAUUUCAGGAAGUGCCGUUAUAGAAGAAUAAUCCCCUUCGGAGUAGGAUGUUUAAUGGAAAUACACUAUUAGGUAUUUAAACGCUGCCAGUGAAGACUUUACGCACAUACGGAGAACAUGUCAAGAUGACGAUUCAGUUGCUUUUUAUAUUUUAGAAUUGCAAUUAAGCGUCUGUUAGUGUUUGCAUCAUGUAACAUGAGCAUUAUGUACCAUUACGUAUGUUACAUUAUAUUUGUAGUGUUUAUAAUUAUUAUUAUUAUUAUUAUUAUUGCUACGCAUAUUUAUUAGCACUAAUGAAUAAUUCAGACAGAAUGUGAAGCUGAAGGAUGGGUUUAAGAGCUCCACCUUCCUGUAUACUGCAUUAAUAUUUAUGUAGAUGUGAAAAGUAAAAUAUUAACCCAAUAUCUUUACUCUUCCUGCAGGGGGUAUUUAAGACAGAGGUUUCAGAGAGAGAGGGAGAGAGAGAGAGAGAGAGAGAGAGAGAGAGAGAGAGAGAGAGAGAGGAGAGGAGAGAGAG